rnacentral:rRNA from 1 species
GAUGAACGCUAGCUCCAGGCUUAACACAUGCAAGUCGAGGGACCGGCGCACGGGUGCGUAACACUUAUCCAACCUGCCCUUUACUCGGGGAUAGCCUUUCGUAAGACAGAUUAAUACCCGAUAUAAAGGAUGGGGAUGCGUUCCAUUUGGUUGUUGGUGAGGUAACGGCACACCAAGACUUCGAUGGUUAGGGGUUCUGAGAGGAAGGACCCCCACAUGGGAACUGAGACACGGUCCAAACUCGUACGGGAGGCAGCAGUGAGGAAGAUUGGGCAAUGGGCGCUAGCCUGAACCAGCCAAGUAGCGUGAAGGAUGAAGGCGUAGGGGUCGUAAACUUCUUUUAGAUAAGAAUAGGUAUUAUAUGAAUAAGGAUCGGCUAACUCCGUGCCAGCAGCCGCGGUAAUAC